UACGUAGGGGGCAAGCGUUGUCCGGAUUUAUUGGGCGUAAAGAGCGUGUAGGCGGCCAUACAGGUCAGCUGUGAAAACUCGAGGCUCAACCUCGAGACGUCGGUUGAAACCGUAUGGCUAGAGUCCGGAAGAGGAGAGUGGAAUUCCCGGUGUAGCGGUGAAAUGCGCAGAUAUCGGGAAGAACACCCGUGGCGAAGGCGGCGAUCUGGGAAGAUACUGACGCUGAGGUGCGAAAGCGUGGGGAGCAAACAGG
rnacentral:rRNA from 1 species